rnacentral:rRNA from 1 species
CAGGACAAUGUGGUGUUUAAGCUUGUACCUGGAGCCGCCAACCUACCCGAAGUCCAACUCCGAUUGUGGCUUGGAUUGUGCCCAUAGCGGGUGAUAGGCCCGUACGGGUAGGUUAUAUUGUUUUAGCGGUUCUCAGAUGUACUUGCUUUCGAGUCGGAUUGCUUGAGAAUGCAGUCCAAAGUGGGUGGUAAACUCCAUCCAAGGCUAAAUACUGGCACGAGUCCGAUAGUAGACAAGUACCGUGAGGGAAAGUUGAAAAGUACUCUGAAGAGAGAGUAAACAGUACGUGAAGCCGGUUGCAGGGAAGCUGGUGGAGUCAAGCUUCAUGCUUGAAGGAUUUGUAUCAGCAGCAUUGGUUGUAUGGAUGCGAUAGUGAUCAACUUGAAAUAAGUUGGGCGCAUUCGUGUGCUUCAAGUCAUUCCGGGUUGUGUGUUUGAUAUCACUAUCGCUUUUCAGCUGCUGGUACUCUAUCCUUCGUUGCAUAAAUCAUGGUCGAUAGCAUUGUUUGCGUGUUACGUGAUUGUCUAACUGUACUUUGGCAGGCAUUUGUUUGUCGGGUGCAGGAUGGCAGGUUGCGGCUACAGAUCCUUGUGUUCUGUUUGUCGCUUAUAGUGGUUUCGACCAGCUGAUGAUCAUGUAAUAUCGCUGCUAUUGUUUUUGAUUAGUGCUCAGUCCUAGGACUCUGUGCUGGUUAGAACCAUGAUUCUGAGGUAGAUUUUCCACCCGACCCGUCUUGAAACACGGACCAAGGAGUUUAACAUGCGCGCAAGUCACUGGGCUUAUUAUGAAACCCAAAGGCGCAAUGAAAGUGAAAGGCUUUCAGUCCUGGUGUGAUUCUAGUUUGCUUUAACAAGGCGGC